rnacentral:rRNA from 1 species
GGAAUAUUGGACAAUGGGGGAAACCCUGAUCCAGCAACGCCGCGUGGAGGAUGAAGGUCUUCGGAUUGUAAACUCCUGUUAGAGGGGACGAAGGAACGCCAGUGAAUAUCCGGCGGACUUGACGGUACCCUCAGAGGGAGCCCCGGCUAACUCUGUGCCAGCAGCCGCGGUAAUACAGAGGGGGCAAGCGUUAUUCGGAAUUAUUGGGCGUAAAGGGCGCGUAGGCGGCCGUGUAAGUCUCGGGUGAAAUCCCUCGGCUCAACCGAGGAACUGCCUUGGAUACUGCAUGGCUUGAGGCCGGGAGAGGGUAGUGGAAUUCCCAGUGUAGCGGUGAAAUGCGUAGAUAUUGGGAGGAACACCGGUGGCGAAGGCGGCUACCUGGACCGGUUCUGACGCUGAUGCGCGAAAGCGUGGGGAGCAAA